CGAAAGCCUGACGGAGCAAGACCGCGUGGGGGAGGAAGGCUCUAGGGUUGUAAACCCCUUUUCUUUGGGAAGAACAAAAUGACGGUACCAAAGGAAUCAGCCUCGGCUAACUCCGUGCCAGCAGCCGCGGUAAUACGGAGGAGGCAAGCGUUAUCCGGAAUGAUUGGGCGUAAAGCGUCCGCAGGCGGCUCAACAAGUCUGCUGUCAAAACCCAGGGCUCAACCCUGGAUCGGCAGUGGAAACUGUUGAGCUUGAGUACGGUAGGGGUAGAGGGAAUUCCUGGUGUAGCGGUGAAAUGCGUAGAUAUCAGGAAGAACACCGGUGGCGAAGGCGCUCUACUAGGCCGUAACUGACGCUCAUGGACGAAAGCUAGGGGAGCG
rnacentral:rRNA from 1 species